rnacentral:rRNA from 1 species
AGCGAACGCUGGCGGCAGGCUUAACACAUGCAAGUCGAGCGGGCAUCCUUGUGGUGUCCGCGGCAGACGGGUGAGUAACGCGUGGGAACGUGCCCUUCGGUUCGGAAUAACUCAGGGAAACUUGAGCUAAUACCGGAUACGUGCGAGAGCAGAAAGGUUUAUCUGCCGAAGGAUCGGCCCGCGCCUGAUUAGCUAGUUGGUGAGGUUAUGGCUCACCAAGGCGACGAUCAGUAGCUGGUCUGAGAGGAUGAUCAGCCACACUGGGACUGAGACACGGCCCAGACUCCUACGGGAGGCAGCAGUGGGGAAUAUUGGACAAUGGGGGCAACCCUGAUCCAGCCAUGCCGCGUGAGUGAUGACGGCCUUAGGGUUGUAAAGCUCUUUUCUCCGGGACGAUAAUGACGGUACCGGAGGAAUAAGCCCCGGCUAACUUCGUG